CAAAGCCAAGCUUGAGAAGCUUGGUUUUCCCUCCUGGAUGCACCUGCCAUCUCCUUCCGGUUCCCUGUUUCCUCCGAGCGGAUUCCGGGUUGACUUCUUGCCCAGUGUCUAAGACGAGAGUUUCCGAGGCCUCCCUGGCCCGGACUCCGCCUGCCGUCUGAGAUCUUGUACCGACGGGAUCCGGAUCCGUAGGACGACGGGUGGUAGGCGGCGGCGAGGGACGCGACAGCCUCUUGUCUGCGGCCCGGCGCUUGGUUCACGUGGUCAAGGCCGACUGCAAACCGCCGGCGACGCGCGGUGAAUGAGCGCAGGGAGCGGAGUCGCUUUCAAGAAGCGAGAAGUUAAUCAGGAGCUACCAGUUCAGACCAACGUUCAUAGGGCACCCCGUCGGAACUGACACUCAAAGAUCCACAGCCCUGGAGAAGAAAAACGGGAGCAUCCACUGGUUUUCGAAAAGGAAAAAAAAAAAAAAAAAAAAAGGAGACACAGGAACUGAUAAGAAUUUAGCAAUGAGCAUUUUUUAUUAUGAGAAAUGAAUUUACCCAAUUUAACUCAACUUAUAAAUAGGAUUUUAAGUACAUCAAUCUGCAAUUCUAACAGGAUAAUUAACAGAAUGAGGAGGAGGAAGAAAGAAAUAUAGGAUUAAACUCUCCAAAACCAUCUUUAAAUGUUCUUUAAUUGACAUUAGUCUUUGUAGAUAAACCAACCCAUCACACUAAAUCUAAACUCGGCAAAACCUAUCCACAGGGAGCUAAAACAAUGUUUUUAAAUUCUGUAUCUUAACACAAGGUAGAAAGUAAUGCCAUUCAAAUACUAGUAAUUUUGCAAAAUGUGAGGUUUUAGUCUAGUUUUCUAGUUCAGACGGGACUGUCUGAAUCUCAAAAGGUCUGUUACUCUCUUUGUUAAUGAAAUCGAUCCGAAGUGGCAUCCGACAUCAGGAAUAAUACGAUCCUCCUUGUGUA